rnacentral:rRNA from 1 species
CGGUAGGUGACCCUGCGGAAGGAUCAUUAUCGAACU